GACGAACGCUGGCGGCGUGCUUAACACAUGCAAGUCGAACGGAAAGGCCCUGCUUUUGUGGGGUGCUCGAGUGGCGAAAGGGUGAGUAACAAGUGAGUAACCUGCCCUUGACUUUGGGAUAACGUCAGGAAACUGGGGCUAAUACCGGAUAGGAGCUCCUGCUGCAUGGGGGGGGGUGGAAAGUUUCGGCGGUUGGGGAUGGACUCGCGGCUUAUCAGCUUGUUGGUGGGGUAGUGGCUUACCAAGGCUUUGACGGGUAGCCGGCCUGAGAGGGUGACCGGCCACAUUGGGACUGAGAUACGGCCCAGACUCCUACGGGAGGCAGCAGUGGGGAAUAUUGCACAAUGGGCGGAAGCCUGAUGCAGCAACGCCGCGUGCGGGAUGACGGCCUUCGGGUUGUAAACCGCUUUCGCCUGUGACGAAGCGUGAGUGACGGUAAUGGGUAAAGAAGCACCGGCUAACUACGUG
rnacentral:rRNA from 1 species